rnacentral:lncRNA from 1 species
CUCACGGCUCCAGACUGGUUCACUCAAGAUUUCUUAUCUGCAAUGGAACCACUUCUGUUGUGAAGUUCUCAGUCACCAGCAGGUGCAUUUUGGGGAACUUGCUAGAACACCACAUUCACAAACCCUUUCUCAGGCUUUCUGAAUCAGAGGUGUCAUAAAAUCGGUAAUCCCAUUGCUCCUGGGCCUUCCAUGUGAUUCUGCUCCACUUUCCAUGUAUCACCUUCCCAGAGGUUCUGUGAGAAUGACAGGAGGGCAGGUGUGAGAAGCUCAGACUGUGCCUGGAGCCUCAGCAUUGCUCAGUGGUGACAUCAUCUUCAUCUGCACCACCACAGCAGCAUCUCCUCUAGCAAAGCUUUCACUGCCAAGAGGAACUGGUCCUCAGAGGUGGAGCUGUCCUUCUCCUGGAACACCCAGCUCAGAUGUUCUGUGAAAAUGACAGGAGAGCAGGUGUGAGAAGCUCAGACUGUGCCUGGAGCCUCAGCAUUGCUCAGUGGUGACAUCAUCUUCAUCUGCACCACCACAGCAGCAUCUCCUCUAGCAAAGCUUUCACUGCCAAGAGGAACUGGUCCUCAGAGGUGGAGCUGUCCUUCUCCUGGAACACCCAGCUCAGG